ensembl:snRNA U5 U5 spliceosomal RNA
ACACUCAUGUUUUUCUUCAGAUCGUAUAAAUCUUUCGCCUUUUACUAAAGAUUUCCGUGGGGAAGAACACAUUGAGUAUAAACUAAUUUUUUGAUGCCCUUCUUAACGGCGGGGU